rnacentral:rRNA from 1 species
AAUGUUGAAAAAUUAGCGGAUGACCUGUGGCUGGGGGUGAAAGGCCAAUCAAACCGGGAGAUAGCUGGUUCUCCCCGAAAGCUAUUUAGGUAGCGCCUCGUGAAUUCAUCUCCGGGGGUAGAGCACUGUUUCGGCCAGGGGGCCAUCCCGGCUUACCAAUCCGAUGCAAACUGCGAAUACCGGAGAAUGUUAUCACGGGAGACACACGGCGGGUGCUAACGUCCGUCGUGAAGAGGGAAACAACCCAGACCGCCAGCUAAGGUCCCAAAGUCAUGGUUAAGUGGGAAACGAUGUGGGAAGGCCCAGACAGCCAGGAUGUUGGCUUAGAAGCAGCCAUCAUUUAAAGAAAGCGUAAUAGCUCACUGGUCGAGUCGGCCUGCGCGGAAGAUGUAACGGGGCUAAACCAUGCACCGAAGCUGCGGCAGCGAACGUAUCACCCAAGACAACUUUACACAGUUGACGCCUGACGGAGCGAAGCGACGUCAAAGCGUUUUACAACGUCGAGUUGGCUUAGGGAUACGUUCGUUGGGUAGGGGAGCGUUCUGUAAGCCGUUGAAGGUGUGUCGUGAGGCAUGCUGGAGGUAUCAGAAGUGCGAAUGCUGACAUAAGUAACGAUAAAGCGGGUGAAAAGCCCGCUCGCCGGAAGACCAAGGGUUCCUGUCCAACGUUAAUCGGGGCAGGGUGAGUCGACCCCUAAGGCGAGGCCGAAAGGCGUAGUCGAUGGGAAACGGGUUAAUAUUCCCGUACUUGGUGUUACUGCGAAGGGGGGACGGAGAAGGCUAUGUUGGCCGGGCGACGGUUGUCCCGGUUUAAGCGUGUAGGUGUGUGUUCCAGGUAAAUCCGGUUCACUUUAACACUGAGGCGUGAUGACGAGGCACCACGGUGCUGAAGCAACAAAUGCCCUGCUUCCAGGAAAAGCCUCUAAGCCUCAGGUAACAUCAAAUCGUACCCCAAACCGACACAGGUGGUCAGGUAGAGAAUACCAAGGCGCUUGAGAGAACUCGGGUGAAGGAACUAGGCAAAAUGGUGCCGUAACUUCGGGAGAAGGCACGCUGACACGUAGGUGAAGUGGUUUACCCAUGGAGCUGAAGUCAGUCGAAGAUACCAGCUGGCUGCAACUGUUUAUUAAAAACACAGCACUGUGCAAACACGAAAGUGGACGUAUACGGUGUGACGCCUGCCCGGUGCCGGAAGGUUAAUUGAUGGGGUCAGCGCAAGCGAAGCUCCUGAUCGAAGCCCCGGUAAACGGCGGCCGUAACUAUAACGGUCCUAAGGUAGCGAAAUUCCUUGUCGGGUAAGUUCCGACCUGCACGAAUGGCGUAAUGAUGGCCAGGCUGUCUCCACCCGGGACUCAGUGAAAUUGAACUCGCUGUGAAGAUGCAGUGUACCCGCGGCAAGACGGAAAGACCCCGUGAACCUUUACUAUAGCUUGACACUGAACACUGGUCCUUGAUGUGCAGGAUAGGUGGGAGGCUUUGAAGUGUGGACGCCAGUCUGCAUGGAGCCAUCCUUGAAAUACCACCCUUUAAUGGCUGGUGUUCUAACGUGGGCCCGUGAACCGGGUUGCGGACAGUGUCUGGUGGGUAGUUUGACUGGGGCGGUCUCCUCCUAAAGAGUAACGGAGGAGCACGAAGGUUGGCUAAUCCUGGUCGGACAUCAGGAGGUUAGUGCAAUGGCAUAAGCCAGCUUGACUGCGAGCGUGACGGCGCGAGCAGGUGCGAAAGCAGGUCAUAGUGAUCCGGUGGUUCUGAAUGGAAGGGCCAUCGCUCAACGGAUAAAAGGUACUCCGGGGAUAACAGGCUGAUACCGCCCAAGAGUUCAUAUCGACGGCGGUGUUUGGCACCUCGAUGUCGGCUCAUCACAUCCUGGGGCUGAAGUAGGUCCCAAGGGUAUGGCUGUUCGCCAUUUAAAGUGGUACGCGAGCUGGGUUUAGAACGUCGUGAGACAGUUCGGUCCCUAUCUGCCGUGGGCGCUGGAAGAUUGAGGGGGGCUGCUCCUAGUACGAGAGGACCGGAGUGGACGCAUCACUGGUGUUCGGGUUGUCAUGCCAAUGGCACUGCCCGGUAGCUACAUGCGGAAGAGAUAAGUGCUGAAAGCAUCUAAGCACGAAACUUGCCCCGAGAUGAAUCUUCCCUGAGCCUUUAAGGCUCCUGAAGGAACGUUGAAGACGACGACGUUGAUAGGCCGGGUGUGUAAGCGCAGCGAUGCGUUGAGCUAACCGGUACUAAUGAACCGUGAGGCUUAACCUUACAACGCCGAAG